GAUGAACGCUGGCGGCGUGCCUAAUACAUGCAAGUCGAGCGAACAGACGAGGAGCUUGCUCCUCUGACGUUAGCGGCGGACGGGUGAGUAACACGUGGAUAACCUACCUAUAAGACUGGGAUAACUUCGGGAAACCGGAGCUAAUACCGGAUAAUAUAUUGAACCGCAUGGUUCAAUAGUGAAAGACGGUUUUGCUGUCACUUAUAGAUGGAUCCGCGCCGCAUUAGCUAGUUGGUAAGGUAACGGCUUACCAGGGCGACGAUGCGUAGCCGACCUGAGAGGGUGGUCGGCCACACUGGAACUGAGCCACGGUCCAGACUCCUACGGGAGGCAGCAGUAGGGAAUCUUCCGCAGUGGGCGAAAGCCUGACGGAGCAACGCCGCGUGAGUGAUGACGGUCUUCGGAUCGUAAAACUCUGUUAUUAGGGAAGAACAAAUGUGUAAGUAACUAUGCACGUCUUGACGGUACCUAAUCAGAAAGCCACGGCUAACUACGUG
rnacentral:rRNA from 1 species